rnacentral:rRNA from 1 species
CCAGUAGCGGCGAGCGAACGGGGAGCAGCCCAGAGCCUGAAUCAGUGUGUGUGUUAGUGGAAGCGUCUGGAAAGGCGCGCGAUACAGGGUGACAGCCCCGUACACAAAAAUGCACAUGCUGUGAGCUCGAUGAGUAGGGCGGGACACGUGGUAUCCUGUCUGAAUAUGGGGGGACCAUCCUCCAAGGCUAAAUACUCCUGACUGACCGAUAGUGAACCAGUACCGUGAGGGAAAGGCGAAAAGAACCCCGGCGAGGGGAGUGAAAAAGAACCUGAAACCGUGUACGUACAAGCAGUGGGAGCACGCUUAGGCGUGUGACUGCGUACCUUUUGUAUAAUGGGUCAGCGACUUAUAUUCUGUAGCAAGGUUAACCGAAUAGGGGAGCCGAAGGGAAACCGAGUCUUAACUGGGCGUUAAGUUGCAGGGUAUAGACCCGAAACCCGGUGAUCUAGCCAUGGGCAGGUUGAAGGUUGGGUAACACUAACUGGAGGACCGAACCGACUAAUGUUGAAAAAUUAGCGGAUGACUUGUGGCUGGGGGUGAAAGGCCAAUCAAACCGGGAGAUAGCUGGUUCUCCCCGAAAGCUAUUUAGGUAGCGCCUCGUGAAUUCAUCUCCGGGGGUAGAGCACUGUUUCGGCAAGGGGGUCAUCCCGACUUACCAACCCGAUGCAAACUGCGAAUACCGGAGAAUGUUAUCACGGGAGACACACGGCGGGUGCUAACGUCCGUCGUGAAGAGGGAAACAACCCAGACCGCCAGCUAAGGUCCCAAAGUCAUGGUUAAGUGGGAAACGAUGUGGGAAGGCCCAGACAGCCAGGAUGUUGGCUUAGAAGCAGCCAUCAUUUAAAGAAAGCGUAAUAGCUCACUGGUCGAGUCGGCCUGCGCGGAAGAUGUAACGGGGCUAAACCAUGCACCGAAGCUGCGGCAGCGACACUAUGUGUUGUUGGGUAGGGGAGCGUUCUGUAAGCCUGUGAAGGUGUACUGUGAGGUAUGCUGGAGGUAUCAGAAGUGCGAAUGCUGACAUAAGUAACGAUAAAGCGGGUGAAAAGCCCGCUCGCCGGAAGACCAAGGGUUCCUGUCCAACGUUAAUCGGGGCAGGGUGAGUCGACCCCUAAGGCGAGGCCGAAAGGCGUAGUCGAUGGGAAACAGGUUAAUAUUCCUGUACUUGGUGUUACUGCGAAGGGGGGACGGAGAAGGCUAUGUUGGCCGGGCGACGGUUGUCCCGGUUUAAGCGUGUAGGCUGGUUUUCCAGGCAAAUCCGGAAAAUCAAGGCUGAGGCGUGAUGACGAGGCACUACGGUGCUGAAGCAACAAAUGCCCUGCUUCCAGGAAAAGCCUCUAAGCAUCAGGUAACAUCAAAUCGUACCCCAAACCGACACAGGUGGUCAGGUAGAGAAUACCAAGGCGCUUGAGAGAACUCGGGUGAAGGAACUAGGCAAAAUGGUGCCGUAACUUCGGGAGAAGGCACGCUGAUAUGUAGGUGAAGUCCCUCGCGGAUGGAGCUGAAAUCAGUCGAAGAUACCAGCUGGCUGCAACUGUUUAUUAAAAACACAGCACUGUGCAAACACGAAAGUGGACGUAUACGGUGUGACGCCUGCCCGGUGCCGGAAGGUUAAUUGAUGGGGUUAGCGCAAGCGAAGCUCUUGAUCGAAGCCCCGGUAAACGGCGGCCGUAACUAUAACGGUCCUAAGGUAGCGAAAUUCCUUGUCGGGUAAGUUCCGACCUGCACGAAUGGCGUAAUGAUGGCCAGGCUGUCUCCACCCGAGACUCAGUGAAAUUGAACUCGCUGUGAAGAUGCAGUGUACCCGCGGCAAGACGGAAAGACCCCGUGAACCUUUACUAUAGCUUGACACUGAACAUUGAGCCUUGAUGUGUAGGAUAGGUGGGAGGCUUUGAAGUGUGGACGCCAGUCUGCAUGGAGCCGACCUUGAAAUACCACCCUUUAAUGUUUGAUGUUCUAACGUUGACCCGUGAUCCGGGUUGCGGACAGUGUCUGGUGGGUAGUUUGACUGGGGCGGUCUCCUCCUAAAGAGUAACGGAGGAGCACGAAGGUUGGCUAAUCCUGGUCGGACAUCAGGAGGUUAGUGCAAUGGCAUAAGCCAGCUUGACUGCGAGCGUGACGGCGCGAGCAGGUGCGAAAGCAGGUCAUAGUGAUCCGGUGGUUCUGAAUGGAAGGGCCAUCGCUCAACGGAUAAAAGGUACUCCGGGGAUAACAGGCUGAUACCGCCCAAGAGUUCAUAUCGACGGCGGUGUUUGGCAC